rnacentral:rRNA from 1 species
CCUACGGGAGGCAGCAGUGAGGAAUAUUGGACAAUGGAGGCAACUCUGAUCCAGCCAUGCCGCGUGAAGGAUGACUGCCCUAUGGGUUGUAAACUUCUUUUAUAUGGGAAGAACUGCAGAUACGUGUAUUUGUUUGACGGUACCAUACGAAUAAGGACCGGCUAACUCCGUGCCAGCAGCCGCGGUAAUACGGAGGGUCCAAGCGUCAUCCGGAAUCAUUGGGUUUAAAGGGUUCGUAGGCGGGCUAAUCAGUCAGAGGUGAAAUCCAGCAGCUUAACUGUUGAACUGCCUUUGAUACUGUUAGUCUUGAGUCAUAUGGAAGUAGAUAGAAUAUGUAGUGUAGCGGUGAAAUGCAUAGAUAUUACAUAGAAUACCGAUUGCGAAGGCAGUCUACUACGUAUUGACUGACGCUGAUGAACGAAAGCGUGGGGAGCGAACGGGAUUAGAUACCCCGGUAGUCCACGCCGUAAACGAUGGACACUAGUUGUUGGGUUUCGGCUCAGUGACUAAGCGAAAGUGAUAAGUGUCCCACCUGGGGAGUACGGUCGCAAGAUUGAAACUCAAAGGAAUUGACGGA